AGAAGCAUUUUUUUUUCUGGGUUACCCAGCCAUAACUCCCUUCCCAUGCUGAGAGGGAAAGAAGCAAUCCUUUCCAGCUGAAGUUGUUGAUGGCUGACAAUGUUAUAUACAUGGAAUAAUUUAGAUGUAAUCUUCAUUCUUAAUUCAAAGAACUGGACAAGAGAUUUGAGGCCUGUCACCUGUCUAAUGCUGAUAAUUAUCUGUGAAGACCUCUCUUGCUCUCUCAGAUGAGUUCCUCCAGGUUUCAAAGAAACUCAUUCCACAACAACUUAAAAGUCCCGCAGUGGCCAACUUUCGUCCAGGAGCCAUCUGUGAGAAAAUAUAAUGGUCCCUCUGCUCUACUCCUCCACCUCAGAAGCUCUUCCUACCUGUCAGUAGACUAGAAAUAGAGCCAUAGUCUGCUGAAUUGGAGCAGCCUUUAGAAGGUAAUCUAGACUUUCGCCUCCUGCAAAUUGUCUUUGAGGUUCUGCUUAAAUUUCAAAUAGC
rnacentral:lncRNA from 1 species